GACGAACGCUGGCGGCGUGCUUAACACAUGCAAGUCGAACGGAAAGGCCCUGCUUUUGUGGGGUGCUCGAGUGGCGAACGGGUGAGUAACACGUGAGUAACCUGCCCUUGACUUUGGGAUAACUUCAGGAAACUGGGGCUAAUACCGGAUAGGAGCUCCUGCUGCAUGGUGGGGGUUGGAAAGUUUCGGCGGUUGGGGAUGGACUCGCGGCUUAUCAGCUUGUUGGUGGGGUAGUGGCUUACCAAGGCUUUGACGGGUAGCCGGCCUGAGAGGGUGACCGGACACAUUGGGACUGAGAUACGGCACAGACUCCUACGGGAGGCAGCAGUGGGGAAUAUUGCACAAUGGGAGGAAGCCUGAUGCAGCAAAGCAGCGUGCGGGAUGACGGCAUUCGGGUUGUAAACCGCUUUCGCCUGUGACGAAGCGUGAGUGACGGUAAUGGGUAAAGAAGCACCGGCUAACUACGUG
rnacentral:rRNA from 1 species